rnacentral:rRNA from 1 species
AACGAACGCUGGCGGCAUGCCUAACACAUGCAAGUCGAACGAGACCUUCGGGUCUAGUGGCGCACGGGUGCGUAACGCGUGGGAAUCUGCCCUUAGGUACGGAAUAACUCAGGGAAACUUGUGCUAAUACCGUAUGAUGUCGAGAGACCAAAGAUUUAUCGCCUAGGGAUGAGCCCGCGUAGGAUUAGCUAGUUGGUGGGGUAAAGGCCUACCAAGGCUACGAUCCUUAGCUGGUCUGAGAGGAUGAUCAGCCACACUGGGACUGAGACACGGCCCAGACUCCUACGGGAGGCAGCAGUGGGGAAUAUUGGACAAUGGGCGAAGGCCUGAUCCAGCAAUGCCGCGUGAGUGAAGAAGGCCUUCGGGUUGUAAAGCUCUUUUACCCGGGAAGAUAAUGACUGUACCGGGAGAAUAAGCCCCGGCUAACUCCGUG